rnacentral:misc_RNA from 1 species
GAACUGCGAUAAGUAAUGUGAAUUGCAGAAUUCAGUGAAUCAUCGAGUCUUUGAACGCACAUUGCGCCCCCUGGCAUUCCGGGGGGCAUGCCUGUCCGAGCGUCAUUGCUGCCCUCAAGCCCGGCUUGUGUGUUGGGUCGUCGUCCCCCCCGGGGGACGGGCCCGAAAGGCAUCGGCGGCACCGUGUCCGGUCCUCGAGCGUAUGGGGCUUUGUCACCCGCUCGAUUAGGGCCGGCCGGGCGCCAGCCGGCGUCUCCAACCUUAUUUUUCUCAGGUUGACCUCGGAUCAGGUAGGGAUACCCGCUGAACUUAAGC